AUUGAACGAUGGCGGCAGGCCUAACACAUGCAAGUAGAACGAGUGGCGGACGGGUGAGUAAUGUCUGGGAAACUGCCUGAUGGAGGGGGAUAACUACUGGAAACGGUAGCUAAUACCGCAUACCAUCAGAUGUGCCCAGAUGGGACUGGCUUGUUGGGUGGGUAACGGCUCACCAAGGCGACGAGCCCUGGCUGGUCUGAGAGGAUGACCAGCAACACUGGAACUGAGCGACGGUCCAGACUCCUACGUGAGGCAGCAGUGGGGAAUAGUGCACAAUGGGCGCAAGCCUGAUGCAGCCAUGCCGCGUGUAUGAAGAAGGCCUUCGGGUUGUAAAGUAUUUUCAGCGGGGAGGCGUUACCCGCAGAAGAAGCACCGGCUAACUCCGUGCCAGCAGCCGCGGUAAUUC
rnacentral:rRNA from 1 species